CUACGGGGGGCUGCAGUAAGGAAUUUUCGUCAAUGGGGGAAACCCUGAACGAGCAACGCCGCGUGGAGGAUGACGGUCUUCGGAUUGUAAACUCCUUUUGUGAGGGACGAUAAUGACGGUACCUCGCGAAUAAGCCCCGGCUAACUCUGUGCCAGCAGCCGCGGUAAUACAGAGGGGGCAAGCGUUGUCCGGAGUUACUGGGCGUAAAGCGCACGUAGGCGGUUCUGCAAGUGGUGUGUGAAACCAAUCAGCUUAACUGAUUGACGCCAUGCCAAACUGCAGGACUCGAGUCAUGGAGAGGUAGUUCGAAUUGCUGGUGUAGUGGUGAAAUGCGUAGAUAUCAGCAGGAAGACCAAGGGAGAAAUCAGACUACUGGCCAUGAACUGACGCUCAGGUGCGAAAGCGUGGGGAGCGAACUGGAUUAGAUACCCUUGUAGUC
rnacentral:rRNA from 1 species